GAUGAACGCUGGCGGCGUGCCUAAUACAUGCAAGUCGAGCGAACGGACGAGGAGCUUGCUCCUCUGACGUUAGCGGCGGACGGGUGAGUAACACGUGGAUAACCUACCUAUAAGACUGGGAUAACUUCGGGAAACCGGAGCUAAUACCGGAUAAUAUUUUGAACCGCAUGGUUCAAUAGUGAAAGACGGUUUUGCUGUCACUUAUAGAUGGAUCCGCGCUGCAUUAGCUAGUUGGUAAGGUAACGGCUUACCAAGGCGACGAUGCAUAGCCGACCUGAGAGGGUGAUCGGCCACACUGGAACUGAGACACGGUCCAGACUCCUACGGGAGGCAGCAGUAGGGAAUCUUCCGCAAUGGGCGAAAGCCUGACGGAGCAACGCCGCGUGAGUGAUGAAGGUCUUCGGAUCGUAAAACUCUGUUAUUAGGGAAGAACAUAUGUGUAAGUAACUAUGCACGUCUUGACGGUACCUAAUCAGAAAGCCACGGCUAACUACGUG
rnacentral:rRNA from 1 species